rnacentral:rRNA from 1 species
CUGCAGUCGAGCGAGUCAAUAGGAGCUUGCUCCUGUUGGUUAGCGGCGGACGGGUGAGUAACACGUGGGCAACCUGCCUGUAAGACUGGGAUAACUUCGGGAAACCGGAGCUAAUACCGGAUAAUCCUUUUCCUCUCAUGAGGGAAAGCUGAAAGUCGGUUUUUAGCUGACGCUUACAGAUGGGCCCGCGGCGCAUUAGCUAGUUGGUGAGGUAACGGCUCACCAAGGCGACGAUGCGUAGCCGACCUGAGAGGGUGAUCGGCCACACUGGGACUGCGACACGGCCCAGACUCCUACGGGAGGCAGCAGUAGGGAAUCUUCCGCAAUGGACGAAAGUCUGACGGAGCAACGCCGCGUGAGCGAUGAAGGCCUUCGGGUCGUAAAGCUCUGUUGUUAGGGAAGAACAAGUAUCGGAGUAACUGCCGGUACCUUGACGGUACCUAACCAGAAAGCCACGGCUAACUACGUGCCAGCAGCCGCGGUAAUACGUAGGUGGCAAGCGUUGUCCGGAAUUAUUGGGCGUAAAGCGCGCGCAGGCGGUCCUUUAAGUCUGAUGUGAAAGCCCACGGCUCAACCGUGGAGGGUCAUUGGAAACUGGGGGACUUGAGUGCAGAAGAGGAAAGCGGAAUUCCACGUGUAGCGGUGAAAUGCGUAGAGAUGUGGAGGAACACCAGUGGCGAAGGCGGCUUUCUGGUCUGUAACUGACGCUGAGGCGCGAAAGCGUGGGGAGCAAACAGGAUUAGAUACCCUGGUAGUCCACGCCGUAAACGAUGAGUGCUAAGUGUUAGAGGGUUUCCGCCCUUUAGUGCUGCAGCUAACGCAUUAAGCACUCCGCCUGGGGAGUACGGCC